CCUACGGGGGGCAGCAGUGGGGAAUAUUGGGCAUUGGGCGCAAGCCUGACCCAGCAACGCCGCGUGAAGGAAGAAGGCUUUCGGGUUGUAAACUUCUUUUCUCAGGGACGAAGCAAGUGACGGUACCUGAGGAAUAAGCCACGGCUAACUACGUGCCAGCAGCCGCGGUAAUACGGAGGUGGCAAGCGUUAUCCGGAUUUACUGGGUGUAAAGGGCGUGUAGGCGGGAAAGCAAGUCAGAUGUGAAAACCACGGGCUCAACCUGUAGCCUGCAUUUGAAACUGUUUUUCUUGAGUACUGGAGAGGCAGACGGAAUUCCUAGUGUAGCGGUGAAAUGCGUAGAUAUUAGGAGGAACACCAGUGGCGAAGGCGGUCUGCUGGACAGCAACUGACGCUGAGGCGCGAAAGCGUGGGGAGCAAACAGGAUUAGAUACCCUAGUAGUC
rnacentral:rRNA from 1 species